GAGAUGACCAGAGCAUAGGCGGUCUUUUCCAGCUUGGAGUAUCGGGUCUCGGCGUCCCUCAAGACCCGGCUGGUGUAAUACACUGGCUUUUGAAGUUUGCCCUCCUCUCGGACCAAGACCGAGCUUACCGCAACAGGGGAGACAGCUAGAUAUAAGUAGAGGAUCUCACCCUGUUGCGGCUUUGUGAGCAGGGGAGGGGAAGCCAGGAGAUGUUUGAGCUUUUCAAAAGA
rnacentral:lncRNA from 1 species